UGCAUCCAUCAUCUACGGUUG
rnacentral:piRNA from 1 species